AACCUCCGCAAUGUGAGAAAUCGCGACGGGGGGAUCCCAAGUGCCAUUCUUAACGGGAUGGCUUUUCAUUAGUGUAAAGAGCUUUUGGAAUAAGGGCUGGGCAAGACCGGUGCCAGCCGCCGCGGUAACACCGGCAGCUCUAGUGGUAGCAGUUUUUAUUGGGCCUAAAGCGUCCGUAGCCGGUUUAAUAAGUCUCUGGUGAAAUCCUGUAGCUUAACUGUGGGAAUUGCUGGAGAUACUAUUAGACUUGAGACCGGGAGAGGUUAGAGGUACUCCCAGGGUAGAGGUGAAAUUCUGUAAUCCUGGGAGGACCGCCUGUUGCGAAGGCGUCUAACUGGAACGGUUCUGACGGUGAGGGACGAAAGUUAGGGGCGCGAACCGGAUUAGAUACCCGGGUAGUCCUAACCGUAAACGAUGCGGACUUGGUGUUGGGUGGCUUUGAGCUGCUCCAGUGCCGAAGGGAAGCUGUUAAGUCCGCCGCCUGGGAAGUACGGUCGCAAGACUGAAACUUAAAAGGAUG
rnacentral:rRNA from 1 species